UGGGGAAUAUUGGACAAUGGGCGCAAGCCUGAUCCAGCCAUGCCGCGUGAGUGACGAAGGUCUUCGGAUUGUAAAGCUCUUUUGCCAGGGACGAUAAUGACGGUACCUGGAGAAUAAGCCCCGGCUAACUUCGUGCCAGCAGCCGCGGUAAUACGAAGGGGGCUAGCGUUGUUCGGAAUUACUGGGCGUAAAGCGCACGUAGGCGGAUAGUUAAGUCAGGGGUGAAAUCCUGGGGCUCAACCCCAGAACUGCCUUUGAUACUGGCUGUCUCGAGGUCGAGAGAGGUUGGUGGAAUUCCUAGUGUAGAGGUGAAAUUCGUAGAUAUUAGGAAGAACACCAGUGGCGAAGGCGGCCAACUGGCUCGAUACUGACGCUGAGGUGCGAAAGCGUGGGGAGCAAACAGGAUUAGAUACCCCCGUAGUCCCUGAGCGGGCUGGCAAGGCGCAU
rnacentral:rRNA from 1 species